GUUUGACCUCGGAUCAGGUAGGAAUACCCGCUGAACUUAAGCAUAUCAAUA
rnacentral:rRNA from 3 species